GAUGAACGCUGGCGGCGUGCCUAAUACAUGCAAGUCGUACGGAAAGGCCCUUCGGGGUACUCGAGUGGCGGACGGCUGAGUAACGCGUGGGAACGUGCCCCAAAGUGAGGGAUAACGCACCGAAAGGUGUGCUAAUACCGCAUAUGGUCUUCGGAUUAAGGCCUCGGCGCUUUGGGAGCGGCCCGCGUACGAUUAGAUAGUUGGUGAGGUAAUGGCUCACCAAGUCGACGAUCGUUAGCUGGUCUGAGAGGAUGAUCAGCCAGACUGGGACUGAGACACGGCCCAGACUCCUACGGGAGGCAGCAGUAAGGAAUCUUCCACAAUGGGGGCAACCCUGAUGGAGCAACGCCGCGUGCAGGAUGAAGGUUUUCGGAUCGUAAACUGCUUUUAUAAGUGAAGAAUAUGACGGUAACUUAUGAAUAAGGAUCGGCUAACUACGUGCCAGCCGCCGCGGUAAUAC
rnacentral:rRNA from 1 species